UCAAGCUCUGUGCUAUCUCUGUGCGUGUGUGCUAUCUGUGUGCUGUUUGCGUGCUAUUGUGAAUGUAGCCCGGCCUUUAUCUUUCUGUUUGGCAAUAUUUUUAAUAUUUUAGCUAUUUUUUGUGUAGUGUUCGUAUUUGCAAUGGUAUAUAUAACCUGAAUUACGAUAGCCCGUCGCGCCCGUCCGUCAGCCUCCAGCCGCUUAGUGAUUAUAACAUUCGGCUCGUCCGUCAUAGUAUUUUUCCAUUUAUAUUAGUUAAACAGUAAUGUAAAUUAAGUACUUAUAACUGUUUAAACUCAAUUAUUUUUCACUCUUAGUAUUUAUUUUCACAUUCCCAGUGUUACAAUACGUAAUUAAUACACGUGUCAGACCUAUUUUGUUUCAAAAAACUGAUUUUCUAAUGUGUUCAAACUUUUUUUUAACUUGAAUACCUUAUAAUAUUUAAUUCGACACGCAAACACCUAACUGACAUUUGGAGGUUAUAGUUUCAGCCGUCCAUCAAAAGUAUGAAGUUGCCAAGCUUUUUGACGGAUGGACGGAAUUAUUCGGGCCAUGUUAUUGGCUGUAUGUCACGUGAUUGAUGGACUUUGGGAAGGGGGGGGGGGGUGACCGCCUGUUGUGAUUUCGGCCUAUAUGACAGUCUGUUGCACCAUUUUGUACUUUGUAUUUAUAACCAACUUGUUUAUUUUGUUAUUUUGUUGCUUUUAUAGUUUUUUUUUUACUGUUUUGCAUGCAGAUAAUUUUUAGAACUGCAUAAGGAGCAACUAGUUUGCAUAAUAGACAGAGAUCAUCUUUGUUGAUUUUAGGCAUAAUAGACAGAGAUCAAUUUUGUUGAUUUUUUAUAUUUAAGGUAUAUAUCUAUGAAAAACAAAAAAAUAAAUUAGUUUGUUAAGUCGAAACAAUUUAAAUUCAUGGGAAAAAGAACCAUUUUUAGUUUAGAAUAAAUUUAUUUUUUGCUACAAAAACUUGCUUUAAGAGGGUUUAGAAAUUUUCUAGAAUAUUUGUUUAAAAAAAAAAUGAAAGCCUGAAUUUGAUAUUUUUAAGUUAUUAUUCUGUUUGAUGACUAUAUUACAAUAUUUCAAGUAAUUUAUUGGUAGUUUUCAAUUUUGAACAGUUAGGGUAAAGUUAGCUACAUUUAAUUUACUGUAAGAUUGUUUUAAUGGUUGGUUAGGUUAGACACAUGGUUUUGAAGGUAAAUAAGUACUGUAGCGGUAUUUGCGAAAAAAAAUGUUAAAAAUCCGAAAAUACUUUUAUUAUAUGCUCUUUCACUUCCUCUUUUCAUUAAACCCGGCGGAGAUAAGAAAUUCCAAAUACUUUAGGAGAUAUCACCGUUCUUAUUUUGUAAUACAAGACCUGUGCUAUCAUUCGAUUGCCGCAAUUUUUUUAUUUUGCAGUGUGUUCGUGAAUGCCUAAUUAAUUAAAAUGGUCGAUUAAGUCAAGUCAGUUACAUUAUAAAUCCUUUCAAACUAAGAGGACAUUAAAAAUAAUGUGAAUUAAUUUUAAUGGUUGUUUAGUUUUAAAGUAUUUAUAAUGUAACUGACCUGACCAAACAAACCGUGACAAAGGAUGAACAGUUGGAACUCACGUAAUUUUUUUUUACUUAUUACUUGCGCAACAAUAUCCAAAUAACAAAUAAAACAUUAAAAUUUGAAACGUUAAAAACUCACCUAAGUUAGAGGCAGGUACAAUUCCUUUGCCAUUAGUAGAAAAUGAUGUUCACCUAAGUCGCGAAAAAAAAAAUUCAUACUCGUAAACAAGAAACAAUGCUUAAUGCCGCAUGAAUGCACGGGUAUUGUGAUGAAAAUUAAAAAAUUCAAUAUCUCCUAAAGUAUUUCGAAUUUCUUAUCUCCGCCCGGUUAAAUGAAAAGAGGAAGUUAAAGAGCAUAGAAUAAAAGUAUUUUUGGAAUUUUUAAAUUUUUGUUAACAAAUAUCGCCCAACUAUUAAAAUUAAAAAAUCCAAUAUCUCCUAAAGUAUUUAGAAUUUCUUAUCUCUGCUGGGUAUAAUGAAAAGAGGAAGUGAAAGAGCAUAUAAUAAAAGUAUUUUGGGAUUUUUAACAUUUUUUUUCGCAAAUACAGCUACUCUACCUUUUUACCGUUUUGAAUAGUUGUUUAGGCAAAGCCAGCUACAUUAAAAACAGUAUUAAUUUGUGUGAACAGUUAGGUUUGUCGAGGAUAGCUACAUUAAAAAUAUGUGAAUUGUUGUGAUCAUUUAUUUAUGUUAGGUUUGGGUAGCAAAAUUUAAAAUACUCAGUGGGAAUUUUCAACAUGAACACAUACAUAAUCUAGGAAAUUAGGUUCCUUUUAAUAGUUGCAUUAUGUACAAUUAGUAGGAAGCAAGACUAUUAUUUUAUUCCAUUAGUCCACUGCGCUAAUACAAAGGGAUAAGGAGCCUAUCACAUCUUACCCAGCUCAAAUCUUGUAACUCAUUACAACUGCCUCUUUUACAAAAAAAUUUAUUCCUGUAAUGUUUUUUUUGAUUACUGCUUAUGUUCCCUGAAGGUUUCGCAAAGAAAUGUUUUUCGGGUAAUUCUGAAGAAGAUCCUCUUUUCAGAAAAAAAUAAAAAUCCAGAAUGAUUUUUUUUUACUUUGUGACAUGUUUUUAAUUCAUUCUCUAACAGGUCGUUAUAAUACAAGUAGUUUAACAGUAGAUUACUCUUUUAACAAGUGGUUAAUUGUUGUUUUUAGAUUAAAAAUUGUGUGACAUUUUGCUAGGUUAGCAGCAAUUAAAUUACUUAAGAAUAGUUUCAUGGUUAGUUAGGUUAUUUUAGAUGUAUCUAUUUAAAAAAAAUUGGUUGUCUGUAAAGUCGGUUUACGGACAAUAGUUUAACGUGACGUCAUAUAUCAAAACAUUGAUGAAAUGAUUUAUCCAGAAGAAAAUGAAAUAUCAUAUUCGGCCUGAGACUGAGCCGUGAUAGGUUUUUGCAACCAAACCAUUUAGGCAUUAAAAAUAUUAUAUUCUUUGAGGAAGAAAUUUUUUUUUUAAUUUUUCUAUCUUUUGUAUGAUAAAAUCUACCUAUCCAUACUUUUAUGAAUAAAAUUGAAUCAGUUUUAUUGAAUUAUCACUAUUUUGUAUGGAUCCAAAGGAGUGAAAUGAAAUGUACCAUUUAAUUAAUAAAUUUAAUUUUAUUUGCAUUCAUUAAUUCAAAUAUAUUUAUUACUUUUGAAAUGUUGCGUGCGCCGUAUUUAUUUUUUACAAGUACAAAAAAAAAAAUUGCAGCUGCCGACAUUCGUACUGAUUACCUUUAAAUUGGAAGUCAUCCAUACUAACCACACGGCCACGAGACCAUAUUGAGAAUAAUGGUUUCAGAUGGUAUAAAUUAAUAAUAUUCCACGGACAAUAUUUGUUUGAAUUUGUUUUAACUAGCUUAUUCUCUGUUGGACUCGAAAUAUUUACACGCUCGUGGGCUCAUAACUAUAAUACAGUUUGUGAUUUAGUAGAUCAAAUAAUAACUCAUGACAAAUAAUUACUAAUGUCAAACUAAAGCGUGAAAAGUAUCAUACCAGCAAUAAAUAUUUAGUUACACAGCUAAAACCAUACUCAUACAACACUGUUUAAAUAUACUGAUUUACACUAGUAAUUAAAAUAAUACGUACUUGUAAGAACGCCAUUUCCUUGCGAAUAUACUCCCGUGGCACGGUGCACAACAAUAACCUCGAACCAGUACGCCGCCACGUGCCGGCCGAGUUCUCUUUACCGUCCGCAACAUACCAGAGAGAUGCCACGCAUGCGUAAACACAUCCGUAGUGGGACAAUUUUUUGUGCGUGCAGCCAGCGUUCAUCGAUUUAUUAGACGUCACGUCAAAAAUGUUUAAUUAUUUUAACAGUUGAUUAGAAACUAUUCUAUCAAUUUAAAAUGUAAUUAUCGUAAUUUCAUCAAAUGUGAACAUCAAUUUAAAAGAUUUGUUAUGAACCUAACCUAACCAGUCUUUAAAACAGUGAAGUACUGGUAAAAUAUUUGAAAAAUCAUAACACCCAAAAAAAUAUUCAAACACAUGUAGAAGCCGAGAGGUGUGAGAUCUGAUGAUCGAGUGGCCACGCUACCGGACCACACCGCUCCACCUAUCGUUUGGAGAAGGUUUUGAGAUACUGUCGCACAGCAUGUGAUGAGUGGGCGAGGCAUAGUCAUGCAGAUACAUAUUGUUCCUCAGAGUAAGUGGCAAAUCUUUUAACAGCUCUAAAAUGUGUGGUUUAGAAAGUGGCCGUAACUAAUAUUGCGCUAUCCACCCAAAGCCAAUUGUGUAAACACAUGUAAAUGUACUACAACCACCACCCAUUGUGCUGGUUGCUAGUAUGUAUCUACUCGCUGCUCUUUGCCGUGCUCCUCUCAGCCACUGGUGUGGUGCCUACAUGAGCGCAAAAUACAAGUUUGUGCUUUACUGUUUGCGCCUGUAAUUUUGUAGGUUUACGUUUCCUGACAUAAUGUUCCUUAACAAAAACCAUUCUGUAAAUUUGCCCCUAGCAAUUUCCGAAAACCCUGUACUUAGCAUGUGAAUGGAAUUUGCUAAAACAGCAAUACUGUACUUGUGAUGUCAAGAAGGAAGCGUAAAUGAGAAGAAAGUAUGUAUUAUGUGAAAACUACCAAUGCUGAGUUAAUUUUUUAACUCGUAUAGGCUAAUAAGAUUGUGUAAUUGAUGCAUGGGUUAAUUCUGCAAAUAUUAAGCAUGGGACUUUGUCUGGCAAUGUUAUCACAGUCAUGAAGAAAGCAAUGUUAAGUUAGAAUUGUAAGUAAAAAUACAAUUUUAAGAAUCAUGUUACGCAGGCUGUAGGAAUUUGGUGGAGAUGGAGGGACGUGGGUAGGGGACAAAGUAUGUGCUGUGUCCUACCAUGAAAUAAAAUAAGAUAAAAUAAAAGAUGUUAUAACAUGUGUAAAA